rnacentral:lncRNA from 1 species
UUACAGGAAGUUUUACCAGCCUGCAAAUACAGCGACAUAGGAGGGUCAAAGUAGUCCCCCAGCCCUGGUCUCUGAACAGCUGGGAGGUGGUGAUGGAAGGAGGUGCUCAGAGAAGACACAAGCAGGAACAGUCUUUACUGUCACAUUGCAGGGCAAAGGAAGCAGCGGAAAUGUCUGAGCCUUAAUUUGAGGUCUCUGAGAAAUCUGGAAAGGAGAGGGAUCUGUGCUGACACGCAUCACGAGGGUGGAUGCAGCUCAGGAGGAGCCAAACAGCUUCGGUGCACCACGGGGAAGGAUCUGGGCUUCUUGAGACCUUGUUCAAACUGAACCUUUAAGCAGGAUGAUUGCCCAUCAAUAAAGAAGAGACCAGAGAGAACCA